GCGUCCGUGGUCUAGCGGCUAAGACGCCGGUCUCCAAAACCGGAAGACGCAGGUUCGAAUCCUGCCGGGCGUGCAA
rnacentral:tRNA from 1 species